rnacentral:lncRNA from 1 species
GGCGGCACCGUCAGAUGCGGCUCGUCGGCCGCUAGGUUGUUCAAGCAAAAAAAAACAACAAAUAAAAUAUAGUGGAGACCGUCAAAUUUGAAUGGACCGAUGGUUUCUACUUGAUUGCCGGCAGCUACUGACGGCUGGCGAAUGUCAAGGAGACGAUGACGUCCCUUUGAUCGGCUAGUUUCUGACCACCGCCGGCUGGAUUUUGUAGAGGAGAGCGUUGGUUUUGGCCCCCUCUCUUUUCGUUGCCCAU